GGCGUCGUACCCAAGUGGUUAAGGGGGAGGUCUGCAAAAUCUCUAUACAGCGGUUCAAAUCCGCUCGACGCCU
rnacentral:tRNA from 1 species